rnacentral:rRNA from 1 species
CAGCAGCCACGGUAAUACGUAGGUCCCGAGCGUUGUCCGGAUUUAUUGGGCGUAAAGCGAGCGCAGGCGGUUAGAUAAGUCUGAAGUUAAAGGCUGUGGCUUAACCAUAGUACGCUUUGGAAACUGUUUAACUUGAGUGCAAGAGGGGAGAGUGGAACUCCAUGUGUAGCAGUGAAAUGCGUAGAUAUAUGGAGGAACACCGGUGGCGAAAGCGGCUCUCUGGCUUGUAACUGGCGCUGAGGCUCGAAAGCGUGGGGAGCAAACAGGAUUAGAUACCCCCGUAGUCCCUGUCUCUUAUACA